CGUGCAGGCGGUUCGUUAAGUUCAGGGUGAAAGCUCCCGGCUCAACUGGGAGAGGUCCUUGGAUACUGGCGGACUUGAGGGAGGUAGAGGAGAGUGGAAUUCCCGGUGUAGUGGUGAUAUGCGUAGAUAUCGGGAGGAACACCAGUGGCGAAGGCGGCUCUCUGGGCCUUACCUGACGCUGAGACGCGAAAGCGUGGGGAGCGAACCGGAUUAGAUACCCGGGUAGUCCACGCCGUAAACUAUGAACACUAGGUGUGGGGGGUAUCGACCCCCUCCGUGCCGAAGCUAACGCAAUAAGUGUUCCGCCUGGGGAGUACGGCCGCAAGGCUAAA
rnacentral:rRNA from 1 species